rnacentral:rRNA from 1 species
AUUGAACGCUGGCGGCAUGCCUUACACAUGCAAGUCGAACGGCAGCACGGGAGCAAUCCUGGUGGCGAGUGGCGAACGGGUGAGUAAUAUAUCGGAACGUGCCCGGUCGUGGGGAUAACGUAGCGAAAGCUACGCUAAUACCGCAUACGAUCUACGGAUGAAAGCGGGGGAUCGCAAGACCUCGCGCGAUUGGAGCGGCCGAUAUCAGAUUAGGUAGUUGGUGAGGUAAAGGCUCACCAAGCCGACGAUCUGUAGCUGGUCUGAGAGGACGACCAGCCACACUGGGACUGAGACACGGCCCAGACUCCUACGGAGGCAGCAGUGGGAAUUUUGGACAAUGGGCGCAAGCCUGAUCCAGCAAUGCCGCGUGCAGGAUGAA